AGUAAAGUGGCCGAGAAUAGGCAAAAGAUUGUAGCUCUUUUCACGGGACAUCCCCUUUACAA
rnacentral:tRNA from 1 species